UACGAAGGGUGCAAACGUUGCUCGGAAUUAUUGGGCGUAAAGCGCACGUAGGCGGCAUAGCAAGUCUGAUGUGAAAUCCCUCGGCUUAACCAAGGAAGUGCAUCGGAAACUGCUGUGCUUGAGUACGAAAGAGGAUCGCGGAAUUCCCGGUGUAGAGGUGAAAUUCGUAGAUAUCGGAAGGAACACCAGUGGCGAAAGCGGCUUCCUGGUCCAGCACCGACGUUCAGGCACGAAAGCGUGGGGAGCAAACAGG
rnacentral:rRNA from 1 species